UACGUAGGGUGCGAGCGUUGUCCGGAAUUAUUGGGCGUAAAGAGCUUGUAGGCGGUUUGUCGCGUCUGCUGUGAAAAUCCGGGGCUCAACCCCGGACUUGCAGUGGGUACGGGCAGACUAGAGUGUGGUAGGGGAGACUGGAAUUCCUGGUGUAGCGGUGAAAUGCGCAGAUAUCAGGAGGAACACCGAUGGCGAAGGCAGGUCUCUGGGCAGUAACUGACGCUGAGGAGCGAAAGCGUGGGGAGCGAACAGG
rnacentral:rRNA from 1 species